GUUUUUGUAAUUUAAAAAAAAUAUUAGUCUUGUAAACUAAAAAUAAGUCCCAACUUUAAAAACA
rnacentral:tRNA from 1 species